rnacentral:rRNA from 1 species
AGUGAACGCUGGCGGUAGGCCUAACACAUGCCAGUCGAACGGCAGCACAGUAAGAGCUUGCUCUUACGGGUGGCGAGUGGCGGACGGGUGAGGAAUACAUCGGAAUCUACUUUUUCGUGGGGGAUAACGUAGGGAAACUUACGCUAAUACCGCAUACGACCUACGGGUGAAAGCAGGGGAUCUUCGGACCUUGCGCGAUUGAAUGAGCCGAUGUCGGAUUAGCUAGUUGGCGGGGUAAAGGCCCACCAAGGCGACGAUCCGUAGCUGGUCUGAGAGGAUGAUCAGCCACACUGGAACUGAGACACGGUCCAGACUCCUACGGGAGGCAGCAGUAGGGAAUAUUGGACAAUGGGCGCAGGCCUGAUCCAGCCAUACCGCGUGGGUGAAGAAGGCCUUCGGGUUGUAAAGCCCUUUUGUUGGGAAAGAAAAGCAGCAGGUUAAUACCCCGCUGUUCUGACGGUACCCAAAGAAUAAGCACCGGCUAACUUCGUG